CCCCCAAAAAAAAAAAGUUCAACAAUUGCAUUAACUAAAUUAAAGAAAUUUUGGGAUCAUAAUUAAAAAAAAAAUUAAUCCAUUCAUUAGAUAAUUAAUAAACACAGAAUGCCUUUUUUGAUCACCAAUGCUGUGUAGGGUUUGAAAUUUUUCUACACAGGAAUCAAACUCCGCUGGUCCGUCAGCGUCACAUUUCACUAAGCUUUAUUCCGUCUAACCACACACAACCUGUUUGGCUUUUGAUUUGGAAAUGGACACUCCGAGUGAACAAGAAGGUCAAGCACAAGUGCUGUGAAGUGAGGUGGAGGUCUGGUCUGCAGAGUAGUUGCUAUUAUGCUUUGGGUCUACUUAGGUUACCGAACACCCAAGUUUCACUUGUCUGGACCCCGCUGCUUCAGACGUCUAAAGACCAGCUGGAUCAGGCCUCACCUGAGCUGUUGGUCAGUUAAUUAUGUGUCGUACAUUUGUGGUUGCACAGAGAACACAGAGCCCCAAACAGGAAGUAAUAAUGUGUUUUACAGCAUGUUAGUAAUGAAAUGUCGUGUGUAAGCUUCAGCUUUGUUUGUUUAAAAGCCUGAGAAAGGAAAUGAAAACAUGGAAGUUGGCUUGGAGAAUCUAAAGUUCUACAAAUUAGGGUCUUCUCUGUUCAUUUAGAUAAAAGAGCUGUAGAAUUAAAAUACAAAAUCAGGUCUUGAUAAAAGCGAUGACCCAGUGAGGAGUUGAGUUAGAAACCACCUGUGUUUUGUCGACUGAUCUGUUUUGCUGUGCCGUGCGGCGGUUGGUGCGACAAGACGGAUAAACACGGAACAAACCAAGGAUUUUAUUUCUAAGAUUCAAGAUCCAGAUGGAAAUGUGUUGGUUAUUAAAAGUCCGUGUUUAAAAUCUGUGAUUGUUGUAAAAAUGAGAUUAGUUUUGUUCAGCUACUGAAGUUUUUCACUCAGGUCCAUUAAGAACAUGAAAUAAAGGAACAUCCGUCAAGUACCGGUGGUUAAAAGCUGAUGAAUCACCAGCGUUUGAAACAAGGCCGGCUGCCAGGUUUCUCAUACGGUGACUCCAUUAAUUGGAGGGAGAGUUUAAACCCUGGCCUUGUUUGCUGCUGCCUUAUAUUUAAACCUCUGUGUGAUGAAGAGAUGGAAAACUGUUGGAAAGAAUGAUGCAACUCCAUAUUACAGAGUUUAUAUGUCAUUUUAAGGCUGCAGCGUAUUUUGAAGCUCUCCUGCUUUUGAAUGCAACAGAGUCAUGUUUGCCCAACAAAUGUGGAAUAAUCUGGAAAUUAUAUUCUGGUUUUGUAAGAUUGUGUGUGGCCCUGAAAAUGCAUUUCUGUGAUCUCUUUAGUGAGGCGUUGAAAGCAGCAGUUUAAUGAUUAUUUCUCUAAGGUCCAUUCAGGAUGAAACCAAAUAUUAUUUAUACAAAUCAGUCCCUUCUUUGAUUUAUUCUGUUACGAUGCCAGAUGCAGUCAUAAAAUAAGCUCAAGUUUUUAUAGAAAAGGCUAAACCUUUGUGCAACAUUGUGUCCUGAAACUCAAUUAAGUAAUACAGGUUAUUUUUGUGGGGAGUUUUAUUUUAUUAGAGGACAUUUCUAAAACCUGAAGUUUAUCUUACAGGCUACAAUAAAAUCUUACUCAGUGAAAGACUAAAUCUUAAAAGAUAGAUGUGUAGCACCACAAGUGUGCUAUGUAGGCGAUGUGAAAUGACAGAAACUCUACCUGUCAAUAAAAAUAACCGUUUUCUGCAGAAUCAAACAUUCAGUGGGUCAGAUUUUCAUAUGCAUCUGUUAGCACCAACAGGUUUUUCCAGGGCAGGUGGACAGGAGACGAGGAUAAUGGUUAGAGGGUGGGGUUGUAGAGGGCACACACACACACACACACACACACACACACACACACACACACACACACACACACACACACACACACACACACACACACACACACACACACACACACACACACACACACACACACACACACACACACACACACACACACACACACACAGUGGAUGUAACAUGAUCACCAGAAACCUAUGAGCAUGAGCUCUGUGCUGCAUUUGGAUUGUGAAAGUGAUUAUGGCGGGGUAUAAUCGUACCACUGGGAUGCUCACCUCUUGCUGAAGGCAUUCAGCCCACAACGACAGCACCCCCUCCCUCUCAUCUCUCCAACUCCUUGACCUCCACCGCCCCCCCCCAUCGACAUCUUUGCAGCUGACCCUCGGAGGCCCUGUGUUGUGGCGGUAGAUAGAAGCAAGGGAAACAUCUGAAGUAGUGGCUGUCAGCAACUGCCCUGUGGCAUCCUAGGAAUCUGCCCUCCAAUGGGUGGGCGAGAACAGGCAGCAGGUGCAGCGAGUGCUUUGCGGACCCCACCUGGAUCUCUGUUGAUCACACCUGAUGUAUUCACCUGGUGUUCUUAAAAUAGGACGGUUUGUUGUCCCUCUGAAAGCCAGAGAGAAAUGGGAUGCUUGCAAGUUGCUUUGGUGCAAAUAUUCUUGUUGUCAGGGUUCAGCACCUCCUGGGGCUUUCAGAAACGCAUGAAGAAAGAAAGGCCGAUUGAUCACAGUCAGGGGGGUCGUCCGGGGGGCUUCGACACACUGCAGCACCCUCAGAGUUAACAGAUGGUACUGUAACACUGGGAUCGAGUUACAUUUUCUCUAGGAUUCAGUUGUUUAUUCACUUCCAGGUUUAUGUGUACACUAGUCAGCAACCUGUCUGACCCCGUUGUGUCUCAGCUUAGCAGCUGUUGGCCAUUUUAUGAGCUUUCAGACCCGACAUUAUGAGGUAUUUAUUCUGGGGCUCAUAUUUCAAAAUGAGCACUUGAGGUCAGUUUUUUAUUGUGCCUGCUUGCACAAAAUACACUGCUCCAUAAAGAUAUGAAGCAGUUUCAUCUUUUCUAUCAUUGUAUUUUUUCUGUCAUGAUUUUUAUCAAUAUGUCAAUAUGUUUAUCAAUAACCCAUUUCUUAUAGUCGGAGGGAAAAAGGAGACAAUGAACAACAAGUCAAACAGUUAUAACUGUGGCAAGAUGUACGAGGCAAAAUGCCCCGAACAUCCGGUCACAGAGUUUAUUUAUAGAGAGGGUGAGUCAGAGGGAGAGAGAGAGAUUGUGUCUGUGUGUGUGUGUGUGUGUGUGUGUGUGUGUGUGUGUGUGCGUGUGCGUGUGUGUGUGUGUGUGUGUGUGCGCGUGUGUGUGUGUGUGUGUGUGUGUGUGUGUGUGUGUGUGUGUGUGUGUGUGUGUGUGUGUGGGAAGUCAAGAAUGUGUGUGUGUGUGUGAGAGUGGCUUGUGUGGGUGUGUCAGAAUGAGUGAGCAUCAAAGAGGCAUAGAACAAUACAUUUACAUUCAGUUGAUUGAGUCAAUGAUCAAGAAUUAAUAAACAUACAUUUUUCCAUAAUAUUCCCUCCUGUUUAUCCGAAUAGGAUAACCAAAUAAAGGGAAACAACAAAACAAAACAAGACCAAAGGAGGAAAAUGAAAAUAAGUAAAACAAUAAGAAACAUUAUCCACUUCCAUAACUCGUCACCAUUAACUACGAAAGCUACAUCAAUCACGAAUCAAGACAAAAAAUGAUAAGCAUCAAAACAAGAAAAAUAAUAAGUAAAGUAAUGAACACUACGAUCAGAUAUAAAAGGGUCAGAAUCAACACGCUAAGGCAAACACAGCAUGAGGUGCUGCAAUCAUUUGUCUAUUGUGGAUCGUGAUCUCAAUCCUAACUUGUCCAAAGAAUCAUUCCAUACAAAGUUCAAUACAAAAAUCAGUAAAAUGGUAAGAUCAAAUAAAAUAAUAGACACAAUAAGUCAACACAACUGACAAUAAUAUCUUACAGCAGUUCACAGAGAUAGAGAAUAGAAUCAGCUAAAUCAACACAAUUGUAACCUUAAGAAAACUAUUUCAUACAUAUUGAAAUGAAUUCACUGUGAUUCACAAUUCUACAAUUUUAUAGCAGUUCCUGUAAGGAGAUUGGGAAGGGUUAGCAAAGCCAUAUAAUACACAGAAAACAUCAGUUUGGUGUAUUGAAACAUCAGGUGAAUUUAGAUUAAAGCUCCAAGUUGCAGAUGAAUCUUUUAGUGAAGGAGGAAAAAUGAAGGUGUAAUAUUAAUUUAAGCAGCUCUAACUAUGGCAGAGCUGAGGCAAACCAGGCAUUCUUCAUCAAAGGGCUUGUCUGUGGAAUGAGAGUCCUAGUUGGAGAAUAGGUUUGAAAGUCAGGGUUCUCUUCCGUUGAUCAGGAUGGUUCCAGUCUUUCGUUGAUAAGUAUCUUGAAGUCCAGGUCCGGAGCAUAAUAAUAUAGUUCGGAACAUGAAGCGCGAAGUUCAACGUUUCAUGACAAGAGCAAUACAUUUACAUUCAGUUGAUUGAGUCAAUGAUCAAGAAUUAAUAAACAUAAAUUUUUCCAUAACAGUUUCUGAAGUUUAGAUGCAUGACCUUUCAAAGCAGCUGUUUUACAUGUGAAGCUCAGUGAUCUAUUUUCAGGUGACAUACUGUACUUUUACUAGUUAAACGCCUUUCAUACAAUGCUUAUGAACGUCUGUGUUGUUUUCUAACAUUAUGUCAACUUUCCUUUAGGCACUCUGUAAACAAAAUGAUUUAAAUAAAAUCAAGUUUGUAAUUUUAGGCAGUUAACCGAUGAUGGAAGUUAAGUAUAAUGCUCCCUCAUACAAGAGGAGACCGCAGCCUCCAAUCAUAUGGCACCACAGAGUCAAAGAGAAUGUUUCUGCUCUCUUCAAAUGAGUGAUAUAAACAAACUGCAAGUCAACUCCCUGAAUUCAUCACAUUAGGACUUUUAAAGGAUUUGCCAGAGAGCUUCAGGAUUUGAGAAACAAGCAGCCAGACUGAGUUAUUCAGGCGCAGAGGGGGUUGGUAAAUGGUGCAUGGAAGGAGAAUGUAUGUUUUACAGCCCUCAGCUGUGCAGAUUGGCAGGGUAAACCUAUGCCUUUCUGUGAUGGAUCUCUCCUUCCCAUCCCUCAGACUGUAGCUUUAUCGCAGGAUAGGGAAUGUCCAUAUUUUCCUCUAGGCAGAAUUGUACAUAGAGAAAAAAAAGACAGGAAGGACUGUAGCUAUGGGAUACAGUGGAAACAAUAAAAAUGAAAGCCCUCACUCCAUUUGUAGGGAUUUGAUUUGCGUGCAAAUCAAAUCCCUACAGGGAAAGGUGGACAUUAAGGAUGUAACAACAUAUUAAUGCAGAAAUAUCACAAUAUUUCACGUUUUAAUACUGAAUCAAUAUUUACAAUCAGAUUUUUAAAUUGAAAUUUUAGAAGUAAAUAUGUUUUCCAGAGUUUUCUACUUUCAGAAAUUAUGUAUGGUUUUUCAGAAAUCCGUAAAAGUGAUUAUCUUAACAUGUACUGUGAUAUAAUGUAAGCAAUAGGUCUUAUUUUAUUUGUUGCUAAGCACACCCCCUGCCCCGCAGAGCUCCGUUCAAUAGGAAACGGAGCGCCGACCAGAACUAACCAAUAGCGUUAGGCUACCGCUUAGAUGCUUCAAAUUUAAGGAAUACCUUGGCUGAUGCAGAGUUGAUGAACUUUUCACGGACAAGAAAGUCUUUAAAAUAUAAACAUAUGAAAACACAGCAUGACAUGAGAAUAAUAAAACAGUGUGGUUUAGCUCUGUUUGUCGGCUACAGAAGCACAUUUAUAAAUAAGAAACGUGAAGUCGCUAUCUUAAAAAAAAGAGCGACAGACUUUUUGUGUGAUAUGCUUGUCAGCCACUAGAUGGUGCCAUCGGAUAAGAGAAAUACCCCGGAAAGAGACUUUAAUGUAUUUAUUUUUAUUUUUUUGCAGUGCAAAGCAAACUCGGAUGAACUCCAAUAAAAUAAAAGUGAGUUUGUAAAUGAGACUUAAAAAGGGAAAGAGAGGAAGAGAGAUCAAGAGGGGCAAGUGGUUCCAGAGCUUCGGUGCACAAACUGAAUAAUAAUAAUCCCCGUGGGAUUUACAGCGGGAGCUAGGGACAUGGAGGAGGUGCUGAUUGGCUGAUCGGAGGGAUCUCGUAGGGACAUAAGGGUGAAUGAGCUCAGACAAGUAGCCAGGUGCUAAGUUAUUGAGGGAUUUGAACACAAAAACCAGGAUCUUAAACUCUAUCCGGAGCUGGAUGGGGAGCCAAUGCAGAUUUGCUAAAACUGGUAUGAUUUCAUGCGUACAAUUUUCGGAAUAGUUAUAAUGUAACAUGCGUUUAGAGUAGCGUUGUUAAAGGGAUACUUUGCAACAUUUUCAUAUUUUAAAAAAAAAUUUCUUGAGUCAGUAUGUGCUAAAAUGACCCUUUACAGGGUUAAAUAACUCAGACCCCUAACAGCCCUCUGUGGUGAGAAUACGACAUUUGCAACUUCAGAGUGCCGGUCAUUUCUAUUGAGCUUAUGUACCUGGCACUGCAGUCUGCUGUUUCCUGCAUGCUUUAGAUCUUGAGCACAGCUGAUUUGUUGCAAUUUAGUGAUGAAUCACUACUUUAGACACUAAUGAAGGCUGGGGAGACAUGUCAGCAUCAAAUGCUACACUUAAAACGAAGCUCGUGAUCCUACUCAACGGACGAUAGAGGAAGCUAACACUUCAAAACUACCAGCGACUUCAACUCGUGCAGUCAAGAUAACGAAAUCAGUACUUGUUUUUAUUUGCAAAGACAUGCGUCCCGAGUGUUGUGGAGAAUAAAGGUUUUCGUAAUAUGAUUAAAACGUUGGAGCCACGUUACGCCGUUCCUUCACGACAACACAUCACGGACAUCACUCUUCCAAACUUGUACAACAAAGUCAAAGCAACAGUCCUGGACUCUCUCGGCUCAGCAGAGACGGUCGCUUUAACGUGCGAUGCUUGGACUUCUAGAGCUACUGAAUCGUACGUUACUGUUACAGCACAUCACAUAAAUGAUGAAUGGAUCCUUCAGUCUCAUGCAUUACAAACCUGAGCCAUGCAUGAAACUCACACAGGUGAACACAUUGCAGCAUUACUGAAGGAGACUGUGACUGAAUGGGGGUUGAACACUAGAGCUGAAACAACUAAUCGAUUUAAUCGAUUAUAAUCGAUUAUUAAGAUAGUUAACAACUUUUUUAGUCAUCGAUUAGUUGUUUAAUAAUCAUAUUUUACCGCAUAAAGUCUAUUUUUACCACAAUCUGACAUCGGUUACAAGCUGUUAAAUUUGCCGCCAGUGUGUGGCAGUAAUGAGCCACUGAUCUACCAGUGGAGCCGUAGAAGAAGAAAUGAGCCAAUAAGUGCCCUCGGUUUUCAUGACGUAUCACGUUACUGACGCUCAUCUUGCUGUGAGAGAUGGCGGAUCAACAAGAAAUACGGAAGAAAAAUAGAAGCGACAAAACAAGAGAAACCCCGGACAAAAACCUCACGAGUAUGGGAGCACUUCACUAGAUGCCUUGAAAAGACCGGUGACCUGCAAAAUAUGCAAAAACCAUGGCACGACGGAAGCACGACGUCCCUAAGUGAACAUUUGAGACGAAAACGUGGGGGCUGAUGCAGCAGAGGAAUGUCCGAAAAAAACAAGCAACGAUGGACAACUACAUGGGGAACAAGACACUCACCCCCAGCAAUGCAUACCACUUACAAACUCUAUUCCAGAUUCUACAUUAUUUUUUUAUGGAAUUUACCUCUUAUAUUUUGAUGCCAAAAAAUUAUUCUAGACUGAUAUUUUGCACUGUUUAGCUCAUUUUACACCGCUGACUGUGUUCAUGUGCAAUAAAAUAGAUUGCAGUCAACUGCACAAUUCUCUUAUGUUUUUCUUUUUCUUAACUGAAAUGUAUUCAUCACUUGUAUAGGUUAAAUAGCUAAACAAUAACAAACCGAUUAAUCGAUUAAUCGAAAAAAAUAAUCGACAGAUUAAUCGAUUAUGAAAAUAAUCGUUAGUUGCAGCCCUAUUGAACACAAAGAAAGUCGUUAUUGUAACAGAUAACGCACCAAACAUGGCUGUCGCAGCCAGACUCGCAGGCAUGACGCACAUACAAUGUUUUGCGCACAGUCUGAAUCUUGCCUCCCAGAAAGCACUAAAAACACAAUCUGUGAUAGGGCUGGGCGAUAUGGCAAAAAUAGAAUAUCACGAUUUUUCCAAUAUUUUAUCAUGAUUUCGAUUUUAUCACGAUUUUUUAUCCAUGAAUAGCAUAACUUCAAUUGCAUAUUAAAGAAGAGAAACAUUGAAUAAACAAACAUUUAUUCAUAUUAGGGAUAAUCAACACAGUGCUAACACACUUAUAUUUUAAACUCACACCAGAGAUGAUAAAAGCCCUGAGAGAAACAAAUACAAAAAUCAGUUUUUCUCAUUUUUCAAGUAACUUAACAUAAAUUAAAAUCGUAAACAUAUUUAAAGUGCAAACAUGUCAAUUGCAAACGUAUUGUGCAAACAUUCACUUGUUCAAAAUACUAUGUAGCUCCCAGUUGCUCAUGUAGUGGAUAGUUAAGCUCAAAUAAGGCUCUGAUGUGCGGCUGGAUCAGAGAUCGCUUGUGGUAGCAAAAAACUGCGCAUUCUGAAUAUUUUCUGCAACUCUCACUUUGCAUUCAGUGUACAUGCGUGGAAUGACGGUGUUCGAAAAAUACUUGCGGCUGGAAAACUCGUAGCGCGGAUCCAAUGUUUUUAUCAUUUUCUUAAAUCCCGCUCCUACUGUUCGCACGGGACACAAAUCUUUAACCAAGUGGUACGUCACUGCAUCUGUCACGCUGUUCCAUCGUCUGCUGUCUCUGUCGUAAGGAGUGAGUUUUGUGAGUGUUUAUGUUAGCGUUUGCUGCCAGGAAGAAGCACUAGCCGCUGCAGCCGCAGGCUUUUUAGCUUAAGCUGCCAGCUGGCUCUCAUUGUAUUGUUUGGGAUGCUUUCUUUUCAAGUGAUUAAAGUUUGUGGUGUUGCCAUCACUUGCCUUGACGCUCUCCUUGCAAACUUUGCAAAUGACGUUUCGCUGCUCUUUGUCAUCUGGUGAAAAACCAAACCAGUUCCAUAUAAUGGAUAGGGAUGGGUACCUUUGACAUUUGAAUAGAUCCGGUACUAAUUCCCGGUACCUAUGAAUCAAUACCGGUACUUAACGGUACCAAUUUUCGAUACUUUUGAGUAUUUCAUAUUUUAAUUCUCUUUUAUAAUUAAAUAUAUAUUUUUCUCAAUAUAUAACAAUAUUUGAUAAAUAUCACAAUAAAUAACAUUCAACUGUUUGUAUUUUAAUAUCGUCCGUGUAGUUUUAUAAGCUGAUAAUUAAACUGAAGCAAACAUCUUUACUGUGAACUAAAUUUACUGUGUAUCUUCAUUCCUUUGGCCGUCUUUGUUCAUUUGAUUUUUCCUACUGGGAAGUUAGAAUUUCCGAGGAGAAAGCGAACGCACCAUUAGCUGAUAACAACGGUGGCAAUGGAAGCUAGCAUAUCAAGCUAAUGUUAUCUUUAACAGUUUAUUUAACUGCUGGAGCAGAUUAAACGAUAAUGCCUCACACUUAGAUCGUUGUCGCUGGUUUCAUCUUCACCCAAUCACCCGUCGUAUUUAGUAAUGUGAAGCCAAACUUUAGAGCACGUUCAUGUUCAUCUAGUCGGAAAUUCGGAGUUCCGAGGAGAAAGCGAACGCACCAUUAGCGAAACGGAAGCUAACAUAUGAAGGUAACGUUAUCUUAAACAUUUUAUUUACCUACCGGAGCAGAUUAAGAUGAGGAUGUCUCACUUAGAUUGUUGUCUGUCGCUGGUUUCAUCAUCACCCAGUUACCCAUCACAUUUAGUGAAGUGGACCCCAGCGUUAGCGUGCGUUCUUCUUUCUACCCAUGCUGCUCUGUUUACAACUCGCUCGCAGGGACCAACGACAUAAUGCUCUUGCGUAUGCGCAGCUUUCUUGACAAGUUCUCGUUUUGAAGGAUGGGUACCGAAACGAGGCACCGUUUGAAAUGACGUGAAUCGGUGCUCGGUCAGUACUAUAGAAAAGGCGUUCCUCUUUGGAACGAAAACCUCGUUGUCGCUCUCAGCCACGGCCGAAGCCAUGUUUGUUCACACACAGGUGAAAACAAGCGGGGCACUAAUAUAUUACUAUGACUCACUCUGAUUGGUUAAGGGUCAAACAAAGGCGUGUCAUUCGCCUGGGUUAAGUUCCCUUUUCAUUCAGAGGCAGAAAUUCAACAGCAGAGCUGUGAAUCGUGAUAAAAAGGUCUCUCAAAAAUGACAGACCGUCAGAUGUGUAGAUCGUAAAACGGUCUAAAAUCGUCAUAUCGCCCAGCCCUAAUCUGUGAUUCGACUUCUGGGGAGAGUCAGACAUGUAACAGGCUUUUUCAGAUGCAGCACCACAGCCAGCGAUCAGUUGAAGCAAAAACAGCGCCUCCUUCAGUUACCAGCUCACACUGAUCACAGACAUAAUAACCAGAUGGAACAGCUCUUAUGACAUGAUAGAACGCUUUUUAGAACAGCAGCCAGCCAUCUGUGCAGCUUUGCUUUCUCCAGACGUCAGGAAGAGUGCAAAAGAAGUCUUCACAUUAAAUGAGUCUGACAUCAUGUGUGCAGAAGAAGUAGUCAGGGCACUCAAACCGAUGAAGUACGCCACCUUGGUGAUGCCAAAAGAGAACGUGCCAACACUGUCUGUCAUUGCUCCUCUUCAUGCCAAGCUCAUGAUGGGUGCACAAGAAGCCAUGAUUAUACACCAACAGUUAGGGACAUAAAGGCUGCCUUUGCAGAAGAUCUGGGGAAAAGAUAUGCCAGUGAAAAGGAGACAUUACGCAUGGCCUCAGCUGUUGAUCCUCGGUUUAAGGACCUGCCCUUCCUGUCCGAAGCUGAGACCAGGGACAUCUAUUCCAGACUGUUGGAGACAGUGGUUGGCAUGAUAAAAAAAAAUGUGGAGGAGGAGAAUGUUGCAGAGGAUGCUCACAUGAACGACAGUUGUGCUUCCAUCAGUCAGACACCCUUGAAGAGACCAAGGACCUCAUGUGCUUUGGUGGACUUGCUUGGAGCUACAUUUCCCUCUACUAGUAGUGACAAUACUGAACCAAAAUCAGAAAAUGAUCUUGCAGCAGGUGAGAUCAAGAAAUAUAGAGGUGAGGCCCCUUUGCCUCUCACAGAAAAUCCUCUCAGUUGGAGGAAGAACCAUGAACAAGACUAUCCUCAGCUCUCCAAAAUAGCAAAGAGUUUGCUAUGCAUUCCUGGCACAAGUGUCUCUGCAGAGAGUUUUCUCCUCUGCCGGUGACAUAGUGACUGCACAGAGAAGCCUCCUGAAAGCUGAGCAUGUAGACCAGCUUGUGUUCCUGCACAAAAAUCUGGAGAUUUAGAGCUCCAAGGAAACAUGUUCAGAUCUGAAAAUGUUAAAAGCACAUAUUUUUGUUCAACCAAAGAAGUACUUGUAUUAAUGUGGCCAGAAGAUUAAAUUUAUUUUGUUCAGGUUGCACAUAUUCUUCCAUUGGUCAAAAUUGCAGUGCUGUACUUUAUUUUAAUAGCACUUUAUCUCAUCAGUUUACUGUAAGAAGUUUUCAAGCACUUUAUUUUUAGUUUAUUAUAUUUUCAGGUAACAUAAAAAGUGCUGUUUUGGAUGCUGCAAAGUUGGAUAUGUAUUAGAAUAAAAAAUACUGAAUGUGAAAUUGUUUACAUUUUUUUUCAUGUUAAAAAUACUUGACAUUUGACUGAAAUGGGUUUGUGUUUGAGGGAAAACCUUUUUAAUUUAUUUUUUAUAUGACCUCUUUGCAUAAGGUAAGAUUAAUUUCUCUAUUCAUUAUUUGUUUCCUACAUUGAAACACAGAUCCCUCAGUUUGGCUUCAAAUACCUCAUGUUAAGCAUGCUAAGUAUUAGUUGGACUGUUAAUGGCAUUUUCCUACAAUAAAUUCAGUCUUAAAAAUUGGCAAUAUUGUCUGGCUUUAAGUAUCACAAUAUAUCGUAUCGCCUCCCUUGUAUCGUGAUACGUAUCGUAUCGCCAGAUUUUUACCAAUACACAUCCCUACUCCUAGCACUGAGGAAUCAUGCAAGGUCUGUGUUUAAAACAUUCCCUUUGACCUUUGGACUCAGCCCUAACCCUAACCCUACCCUAGCCCACAACCAAUUGACCUUAGCUAUAAAUCAGUCACUUUUAUAAAUAUCACAAGGCCUUGGGACGUAGGGCUGCUGAGGGUGCUGCAGCAGCCCCUUGUGGGUGACAAAUUAUUUGCAUGUUGGUAUUCUGUAAGUAAAAGUAUUUUAUUAGAUUUUGUUUUGAGUUUAAUUGAUCACAACUACAAAUACGUAAUAUUAUUUAGAAAAACAUUUUUGUAUGUCAAACAUACACUGAGCUAUAUUAUAUAUAAGACGUAAGAUAUGUGUGUACACAAGGGACACUUGUUUAGUUGCCUGUUGAUUAGUUAUCGGGAUGAGAAAUCCACUGGAUUUUCUAUAAUUCCAUUUGUUAAUGUAUUAAGACGUUUUUCUAAUAUUUUACUCAUAGUCAUCGCUUUUCGAAGACCUCCAUGUUGGUUUUCCGUUAACCAAUGCGGCCGCCGCUUAGGUGUAAACCGGCGUAACAUUUGUUUACGUAGAACAAGGGUGGUAACUUUACACACCUCAGACAUGUGCACCUGCGUGGAAAUGUUGUGGAACAGUUGAAUAUAUGAGACAUGAUUAUGCAGCGUUUCAUCAGCGCAAUUCUGGAGCGCAGGAACACUUUUGGAGUGUCAUCAUAAAAGUAAGUAAAACCAAUUUGAUUAUUGCUCUUUGUUCACUCUGUGUGGAAAGGUUGAUGGCUUGUUGAUCAGAUCUGUGCUCGUUACAGUGGCUCUUAAUCGUGUGAGUUACGCUCUAAAAAUAAACCGCAAAAUCCACAAAGUAGUGAACUUUAUUUUUUACAUGUGUAGCGUACGCAGCCACCUUUUUGGGUCACACACAAAAACACACCAGCCUAUUUCUCAACAGUUUUGUUUCCAGCAUUUGAGCAGACUUGCGUCUCCUCCCCCUGUGCGGGAGCGCAGAUUACUGAUGCGCUCCAGCUUUGGCACAACACACACUCCUGUCCCCGCUGAUGAGCUUGUCCCAGCGCAACACCGCUAAAACCCCUCACUUCACACCAGCAGCACUUUUUUCAGAUAUGCAUUACCUUUUCACUUUUCUCUUGUGUUUAAACAUUGUCAAAGCUCAAACCUUCAGACGCAAAACCCAAAGCGCUGCUGAAAAAAAGCAUGCAAAAUGGAACUAGAAACUAGUUUGAAAGGUGAACCGUUACUGCACUGAUGUUUGCUGAUAUUUGUUUGAAACAGUUUUUCUGUGGUGUCGCGUGUACAUAAACAACGGAUGGAAUUGUUCCGUUUGUUUUUAGUUUCCAUUACUUAAGGAGGUGAUCUUGGAGGGUGGUUCUGUUUCUGUUGAUAAACACUUCGGUAUCAGAUCUGUUGUCUGAAGAGCCUGCAGACCCAUCAGUCAGCUCCCUUGCCAACAGCGCGGUUCGGUGUGGAUUCCAGAAGUUUUGACCUGUCAUUUGUGGGGUUUUCCCAGUGUUGAUGGCAAUAAGUUGCUGUUAUGUUGAAGAAUGAACCAAGAAUAAUUAAGGCUUACUGCUAUUACACAUAAAUAUAUAUAAACAUGUUAAACACGUGUGCGGCUUUUUGUAUGUGGCUCAUCACAGCACCCCCUUAGGAAAAUAUGUUCCCACGGCACCGAAUAUUCAGGUAAAAUUCUGUGUGCUUGUCAUUUAACAUGCAUAAGCCCAGUGCUAAUUGAUUGUGAGAUCUUGUGAUGUCAUCUUUGCUCCGAAAUGGCUACAAUCACAUCAUUUCUCAACAUAUGAUCGCUCUGACAUGAAAGGCUGUGAGUGGCAGUUAAAGGUUGGUUUAUGCUUGACGCGUCCGCGAGGUCCGCACGGCUCUGCGCGGAAAAGUUGCGUCAUUUUGCGUCAUUUUAACAACCACGCCCCUCCACCGCGCCUCCGCACAGCCCAAAAUUUCCGCAACGCGCACCUAGGAAAUUUUCUAACCACGCGGAUGGUCGGACGCGGAAAAACAUGGCGGACCGGCAAGAACUAGUAUGGCAGAGGUUCGUAAAUACAGACAUUUGUAUGAUUCAGCUCUCAGAGAUCACAGUGAUCAACAUGUUGUUAAUAAUUCUUGGAGAGAAAUAGCUCGCACUGUCGGAAAAGACGAGGACGCUGUUAAAAAUGCUCAAAUGCCAUGUAGUAAAUAGUCAUUUUUACUUCUACUAUGGUGUAGUGUUGGAUGCAUGCUGUAGAGCUCCAUGCUGCCCCGUUCAGUUUGGGAGAAUAUUGGCUCACCGCAGAGACAAGCCGCAUGAACCAUAAACACUGCAAGUUGUGAAGCGCGUUCCAUCCGCGAGCCGCAUCACUAAGCGGAAAGUGAAUGCGUCAAGCAUAAACCGAGCUUAAGUGUUAAAGAUACUGAUCCAUCCUGGCACACACCUUUGUCUGGUAUUCCAAGCUCAUGCAAACUGGAAAACGGUUAAAGUGGUUGCUACUCGAGGUAGUUCAUCUCUCCAGCCUUUUGUGUGUCCUCACUCAGCAGGAAGGCUUUUUCAAGUGUACUUCAUAAGCUUAUUGGCUUACACAGAAUUGUUUUCCCUCUCUGUGUCCAUGCUUAAAGGCAUGUACUCCGUCACACUUGCAAUGUGGGCUAUCUGCAGCUGCCUGUGUGGUGAUAGGAUGGCAGCAAACAGUCCUUUCUGCUUGUUCCAUCGGGGCCACAGGCCGUCCCAGUUGCCUUGGCAGAACCCACCCAGCCAUCAUGGGCAGGAGCUGUGGCAGACGCCACCUCAGGCACAACCCUGGCUGGACUGAAAAGCCUUUGUCUUUGUAAAAAGAAAAAAAAAUCGAGUUAUACAGUAGCAAAGUUUGAGGCACGCAUGUGUGGCACUGUUUGGCGGAUUGGCAUUUUUUGGCAAGACCAGCAAAGAGACCAACAUCCUUUUUUAAGAUGUCAUUUUCAGGCUGUCAACACCUCUACAUCCAACAGAUUCUGUAUAUUUCAGCUAGAUGACGAACAAAGGUUGGCGUAGUAGUGAUGAUUGAAUUAAAACAUGAUAUUAGGGUUUGACAGUACUGUAGACCAUGAGCAGAAAUCCUGCACAAUUUUUUAAAUAUCUAAUAAUGGAGGUGGUGAAUGGAGGGAGAAUGACAGAGUGCCAUUUAAUCUGCUGUGAGAGCUUUUCUAUUCAAACAGAAGCACCACAGAUCCAUUGCAUGUGCGGUUUUGAAAAAGCUACCUGGUUUUUCAAGUAGAAAUCCAGCUGUUCAAACAAAUGCUUUUGGAUUUGUGAGUGGCUGCAUUUAAUAAAAGAACCAUUCAGUAAUGUGUAUAGUUGGAUUUUUCUUUACAAGUUAUCAAAUUCAAUUUAUCACAAGCACCAAUUUGGUAAGAUUUCUCUUUCAUAACUCAGGUCAAACAGCGGUUGUUACAAAACCUCUUUUUUAACAUUUUUUAAAAUCAAGUUAAAUGUGGCUUAGAGAUCUUACUAACUACCCGAGAAUGUCAGGAAGCUUGAUUAAAGAGAGAAAUCUGUUAGAAAUCGUGUUUGCCACCCCAGACUCGUUCUUUGAUAGAUGGGGUGCAACAGCACAACCUUCGUCCUUUUACAUAAAGAUGGGAAAGGGUGAUAAAGGGCCUGUGCAGUGAUCGAUGUGCCCACAGUGGAGUGCAGAGAAACCACAUAGUAAUUCAAUUUAUCUUAACCUGAACACUAGUAAUUGCUACUGUAACUAGGGCUGACUGUAUUUUAGACAGGAAGGAGAUUGCUGUCAAAGAAGCACGUCCAGCUAAUAGAAGGAGGAGGAAACAUCCUUGGUGUUCUUUAUGCCAUCAGUCUUACGAAUUUAAGCUUUUGCAUGUAAUUGAGUUGAGCAGGAAACAAAUUUCCUCAGAUGUGAACAACGAUGGCAGAGAAAAUGUGGAUGUAAAACCUGUAAGUACUACAUUUCCCGUAAUACAAUUGUAUAACUGUGUAUGAAUAAAACUUCCCAUUAAGCUGAAACCUUUCAUUUUGUGAAAUGUACUCAUUUGGUUCGUGCAGAGAGUUUGAUGUGAAGAUCAUUACCAUUCUUAUAUCUGUCCAUUAAAUAUACAACCACAAGCUGCAAAUGAUCAUUUGAGCACACCAUGCUUAGUUUUCUGGUAAUAUUACAAAAUGUUACUAAAAGGUCACUAGUUUCUUAGUGCCAUUAAUUUAAUCAUGCCCAAGCACAGAGCAUGUUUAGAAGGAUUUUUAAUGAGUUUUAGUGGUUGAAUCUUCAUAAAGUUGCAAUUGGAACUUGUUUUUCUCUAAACCCUGCACUCUGAAUUUCAAACAAACAGCAUGGAAGUUGUGGUAAAUAUUUUUCACCUUAAAUAAGAGUUAUUCAUCAAUCAUUUGUUAUUGUUGUUAUCUAAAAGCAAUUUUAGUAAAGUUUUCAGAUUGUCUCAACAACAAAAGCCCAAUAUUCAAAUUAAUUAUUGCAUUUAGUCUUGUAUACGUUUUGUCAUACAGACUUAAAUGAUGGUCAUUGCAGCUCAGUGUGUUAUUUUUCCAUUUCUUAUGUUUAAAAAUUAGGGAUGCAAAUGACAGCAGAUUGGUACAGAUAUAUGAUAAGGAGUUUUGGGGUUAGGACAUAGCGGGGUUUAAGAAAAUAUCAAUACAGUGAAAUAUUGUGUUUUUUUUGUUUAGUUUUAUGAUAUUGAAAGCAGCAUACAUUGCCUGGUCAAAAAUAAAUAAAGUCACCAACUGGAUUUAACUAUCUUUCGGCUAGCAACAAGUUAUUUAACCACCACUGGUGCAAUGAGUCGCUUCUCAUUUCUGAAACAACCAUUGCAUUGGGCUCUUCGGGACAAGAACAAGUUUAGCAAAAAAAUAAGACGAAAUUAAGUUUUUUCUCAAGAUAAAAAUCAC